rnacentral:rRNA from 1 species
CCCAGACUCCUACGGGAGGCAGCAGUGGGGGAUAUUGCACAAUGGGGGCAACCCUGAUGCAGCGACGCCGCGUGAGCGAUGGAGUACUUCGGUAUGUAAAGCUCUAUCAGCAGGGAAGAAAAUGACAGUACCUGACUAAGAAGCCCCGGCUAACUACGUGCCAGCAGCCGCGGUAAUACGUAGGGGGCAAGCGUUAUCCGGAUUUACUGGGUGUAAAGGGAGCGUAGACGGCUGCGCAAGUCAGAAGUGAAAGCCCGGGGCUCAACCGCGGGACUGCUUUUGAAACUGUGUAGCUAGAGUGCAGGAGAGGUAAGUGGAAUUCCAGGUGUAGGAGUGAAAUCCGUAGAUAUCUGGAGGAACAUCAGUGGCGAAGGCGACUAUCUGGCACAUAACUGACGCUGAGGAGCGAAAGCGUGGGUAGCAAACAGGAUUAGAUACCCCCGUAU